rnacentral:tRNA from 1 species
CCCUAGUUAGCAUAGUUGAUAGUGCGUCUGCCUUGUAAGCGCUAGGCCGCGGGUUCGAUUCCCGCCCGGGGCG